UAAUGGCAAAUAAGAUGAAUGUCCCUGCCGUUAUGAAUAUCAUAGUCUAGCGAGGGAGGAUCAUAAACGAACGAAUUCGAUUCUGACCGUGAAUAGGGAUAAAGCUGACUGAAGUUACUGUUUUUGAAAAGGGCUAGAAGUGGAAAGAGGUCUCUGUCUCAGACUAUCCCUUGCUUCCGGCACUGUGUUGAUGCAAAGCGUGUGUUCCAUUGGGCCUGCGCAUUAGCGUUUUCACCCACUGCAGCUUUCAAUGGGUUGGGCUUGGUUACAGCACGAUGGCAGGUAUCCAAGAGAAGUUUUCAGAGGAGAACGAAAUUAAGGCACAAAGAGACUAAGGAACUGUCCUGCAUGUCACCCAGGAAGCUGUAGAAACGAGCUGGCAUCUGCAUGAAAACAGGCUUUACAGGGUCUCUGACUACAUUAAAACAAAGUCAAAGGCAACUCAUUGUGGUUGGACACCGGAGGAGGAGCACGUUCCUAACCCCAGCAUUUAGGAAGCUGGGACAGGAAGGUCCCAAGUUUGAGGACAGCAAGACCAUGUCUCAACAAAACAAACCCACCCAUGCAUUCAACCAACAAAAACCAACAAACAACAGCUUCUAGAAAGUCCGAGAACAACAAUAUAACAGCAACUGCUUAAAAGACCUAGUUAGAGGAUGCUGUUCUGUGUCCCACAGGACCGACCCAGAAACACCUUCCUCCUUUGAAUUGGCACCUUAAGAGCAAAGAUACUAAUAAGGGUCUACACAGACAGCGUGGCAGGUAGCUCCAGCUUUUGUAGCCAAACGCUGUUUUUGGUGAGAGAUGAGAAUGAAGAUUCGUGUACACAAGCAACAGAGGUCUCCCUGUGUGGUUUGGCUGGGAUAGGUUAUGACUGUAGGGCUCUGGAGAAAGCAGAGAGUUUGUUGUACAGAGGUCCAGCCCAUUUUGAGAAAAGCAAAAGUCUCAUCUAUAAUUGCAACCUGUACGCAAGGCCUCCACCUCAAGCUGGUGCCUGAGGAUUAGGAACGGAACAUGUGGGGUAAGGAAAGCUUCCUCGCCCUUUAUUCCCUUUGUUCAACAUCCCUGGCCCGACUUGAAAGACUAGAGGUUCCAGGAGAGGGCGAAGCAGCCAGGUUGUCCCUGUUGUGAACGGUCUGUGUCCGUCUCCUGCAACUGCUCCCUCUGGUGCUCAGAAGUGGAAUUUGCUACUAACCUGGUGCUCAGACUGCCCAGCCUGCCAUCAACUUUUCUUCAACUUACGCAUUGCACCCGAAGAGGUCUGGAGAUCACUGGGUCCUCUGCCCUUGACUCUCAAAGCCGUCCCCCGCCCCAAGACAAUGAAAAAACUAUAUCCUGUCACUCUUUACCCUGAGUGUGUUUUCACCAAGAAGCCAGCAGUCCCCACGGCAGCCAGGACCAGGGGUUUAUGAGGGCAUCUCGCUACCUCCGAGGUCUUGUGUGAGACGUUGGAAGGAUGAACGAGUUGUCCUUUCUCAAUAAUUCGAACUUUCAGCUAUGUUUUGAGACCCUUGGAUUGUCAAGGCCAUGCGAGUGAAAAGCAUUGCGAUUAUUUAUUGCCACAAUUGCCGUCUGUCGGCUUCUCGGCUGACACCCAAGGCUCCUCGUCCAUCUUUCCAAACAUCAAACAGAUUACCAAUGCUUAAGAAGAGAAGUGCUGUCAUGCAAGAUUCAUAAAGAGACGCCACUUGCAGAGACCUCCUCCUGAGCAUCUGACAUCACCGAGGGGAUUGACAUAAAGCAAGCUGUCCCCAAGCACAGGCGCUGGCGCUGAGCUCCGAUGCGGGACCUCUGAAGGGUGGGCCUUUUAUUUUCAGAAGGCAUUGUCUUGGUGUAGACAUGGCAGCUAUGUUUUCCUGACACCUUGUCUUGUGCUGAAAGACACAUCGGUUAUACCUUCCCCGACAUCAGAGGGUUUGUUAAAGCCUGGUUGAAGAGAAUCAUAAUAAAAAUCUAUAAGCACGGG